AAAAAUGAAAAAGAAAAAAUUGUCUCAAAAGAAAAAAAAGAAAAAGGAGAUAAGGAUCGAGGUUGUGUUGGUGUUGGUGCCGGUGCAGGAAGAGAGGGCUUGUUGGUGGAUCCGAUUCAGAAAAAAUGGGUUCAAACCCGUCGUUUGUCCCGGAGAUCGGAUCCGAUGGUCUUCCCAGACAAUCUUCCGUUAUCACUUACACCGAACAGAUAAUCGAAGCAGAACAGCUUCAAUUGAAGAAGUACAUUCAAGAAAACUAUACUAAAAUUCGUGAUGUGGAGCGUGAGCUUGCAAAUCUUGGAUUAGAGAUGAAGCUUACAUCUGGACCAAAGAAAGCAGCGCUGGAACAUAUGAGAAAGAAGAUAGAGGCAUCAACCGAGAAAAUUCGUGUGGCAAAGAUACAGGAAGAACAGGCACGCAAGGUGUGGGAAUCAGCAUCAAAAACAGUGCAAGAAGAAGAGGCAAUAAAGCAGAAGUUAUGUGAAGACUUAAGCAAACUGGUCGAAGAGAGCAAUAACUCUCAGUUGUCUAGGCUGGAGGAUUUAAAAAGACGAUUAGAAGCUAUGAAUCCGAAUCGAAGUUCAACUAGUCUGCAUAGUGAUGGAAGAUCAAGUUCUCUGGAUAGUGCAAUCCAAGGAGGAUCGGCUGGGAAUGUUCCAUACCAAAAUAAUGGUCUGAAAGUUCCAGUGACCAAUGAGCAUAAACCACAGCCUCCUAGUGAAGAAGGAAGAAAUAAAAAGAAAGUUAACUAUCAAAGAGGAAAAGGAAUUGGCGCGGUGCCCAAAACUAGGUCUUCAACUCCUGACUGGACUGGUGCUGGCUUUGAUGUAGAUGGCAGAACCUGAGAGUAGUAUGGUAAUACGUUACUGCACUAAAUACAUUUUUGGCUGAGAAGUCAUUAGGGUCUGCACAAGGUAAUAACAUCUUUCAAUUUUCCAUUCUUUAUACCCAUUAACAAGGAAGUGUCAAUUCCCCCCAAUUUUUGUGACAGUUUUUUGACAGUUGACACAGAAUGACAGACCAGAUAAUUUAUUUGUGCUAGACUGCUUGUACAAACUUGUGAAUAGGAUAUUUUCAUAUGGAAGAUCAGAUCAAUUCAUCAAGACAUCUCUAGAAGGUGCAGUGCGUGUUUGGUUCAAAAGCUUCCGAAGAAAACUUAAAAAAAUAUAUAUUUUUUUUCAACUUUAAUCUUUACCAGACAUGGUGGAAGAAACUAAUUUCCACUUUGACCAUAUGAUUAGUUUGUAGUUCGAUUGUUAUCGGUUCAUUUCCGUUCAACAUUUGGGUUUUACGUGUUAUUUUAACCACACCCAUUCAAUUUGUACCAAAUUUCUACUUACGAAUACAAUUGAUAAAAAAAUGAUUAAAUAUUAUUUUGGUCCUUCAAAUA